GUGCUCGCUUCAGCAGCACACACACUAAAACUGGACCGAUACAGCGAAGGUUGGCAUGGCCCCUGAGCAAAGAUAUCACGCAAAUUCAUGAAACGUUCCGUAUUUUU